rnacentral:rRNA from 1 species
UACGUAGGGUGCAAGCGUUGUCCGGAAUUAUUGGGCGUAAAGAGUUCGUAGGCGGUCUGUCGCGUCGGCUGUGAAAACCCGAGGCUCAACCUCGGGCCUGCAGUCGAUACGGGCAAACUAGAGUACUGCAGGGGAGACUGGAAUUCCUGGUGUAGCGGUGAAAUGCGCAGAUAUCAGGAGGAACACCGGUGGCGAAGGCGGGUCUCUGGGCAGUAACUGACGCUGAGGAGCGAAAGCGUGGGGAGCGAACAGG